AUUGAACGCUGGCGGCAUGCCUUACACAUGCAAGUCGAACGGCAGCACGGGAGCAAUCCUGGUGGCGAGUGGCGAACGGGUGAGUAAUAUAUCGGAACGUGCCCAGUCGUGGGGAUAACGUAGCGAAAGCUACGCUAAUACCGCAUACGAUCUAUGGAUGAAAGCGGGGGAUCGCAAGACCUCGCGCGAUUGGAGCGGCCGAUAUCAGAUUAGGUAGUUGGUGAGGUAAAGGCUCACCAAGCCGACGAUCUGUAGCUGGUCUGAGAGGACGACCAGCCACACUGGGACUGAGACACGGCCCAGACUCCUACGGGAGGCAGCAGUGGGGAAUUUUGGACAAUGGGCGCAAGCCUGAUCCAGCAAUGCCGCGUGCAGGAUGAAGGCCUUCGGGUUGUAACU
rnacentral:rRNA from 1 species